rnacentral:rRNA from 1 species
GACGAACGCUGGCGGCGUGCCUAAUACAUGCAAGUAGAACGCACAGUUUAUACCGUAGCUUGCUACACCAUAGACUGUGAGUUGCGAACGGGUGAGUAACGCGUAGGUAACCUGCCUGGUAGCGGGGGAUAACUAUUGGAAACGAUAGCUAAUACCGCAUAAUAUUGAUUAUUGCAUGAUAAUUGAUUGAAAGAUGCUAUUGCAUCACUACCAGAUGGCCCUGCGUUGUAUUAGCUAGUAGGUGAGGUAACGGCUCACCUAGGCGACGAUACAUAGCCGACCUGGGGAGGUGGACGGCCACACUGGGAAUGGGACACGGCCCAGAAUCCUAAGGGAGGCAGCAGUAGGGGAUCUUCGGCAAUGGACGAAAGUCUGACCGAGCAACGGCGGGUGAGUGAAGAAGGGUUUCGGAUCGUAAAGCUCUGUUGUAAGGGAAGAAAGGGUGUGAGAGUGGAAAGUUCACACUGUGACGGUAUCUUACCAGAAAGGGACGGCUAACUACGUG